CUGCUAAUAUUAACCUAAAUAUUAUAUAUGGCCUUCACAGGUAGCUGAGGGAUCUAAAACAACAAGUGAAGCUAUUGGGAUCGACGUCGACAAAAAAAUAUUUGAUAGUUAGUUGCGAUUCAGAAAAUAGUUGAUGCUUCUUUCUGGAACUUAAGUCCCAGUGAAAGAAUUGAAGAAAUUCGAAGGCAAAGAUCUGACAAUCUUAAAGAAGCUUCACCUAGUGAUGCACUUGGUGUAGUAUUCGGUCCCGAGCACCCUGGUCGUGUUCGAGGGUUAGGCUUGGGUGUAAUUCCAAUUAUAGCAUUCAAACAGACAUCUGGGAGACCCCGUCGUGGUUAUGUGGGUUCAGCUAGCACUAGCGCUCCAACUCCUGAGUGGCAGCAAAAGAUGACAAAUCGCAAUUAAAUACACACUUAGCUUAUAUCAAAGGAACAUAGAAAAUAUCCCUGAGUAGUUUGCUCACUUAUUUCUGACUCCUCUACAGGCACCAGAUCUAGGAAGUGAUGCAUCGUCACCACUUGAUCAAAGAAGAUCUUUAGAUGAAAGCACCAGAUCUAGGAAGUGAUGCAUCGUCACCAGUUGAUCAAAGAUCUUUAGAUGAAAGUAAUAAUGAUGAUCGUCCAAGUGCCAAUUAGUAAUUAUUAUUAUUAGGAUCAACUAUGACUUUUUAGGGUAUUAUUGUUGAAGAAUGUAAUGUUCAUGAUACUUGUGUUGGAAUACUUGAAACAUUAAUAUUUUGAUGAUGUAAUGUUGGAAUACUUGUGUUUUAUAUUAUAAAAAUAUUGCU